CCUGGAAACAGGAGAGAAAAUGGCUCAAACCUCCUACUUCUCCCCAGUGGAGUUACAUAUUAAUGAAUGUGUAUGCGGAAUAUGAGUAUAUAUUUAAGAAAAAAACAAUACAGUAGCAGCAGAAAAAGAAUGUGAGCUGGUGUGGCAGAAAAUUGCUGACCGAGUCAAUGCAUUUGACCUCCAUUAUAGCCAAUACAAAAAAGGCUGAGGGACGAAAAACCGGUGGGGGCCCCCAAUCAGAACAGUAGGUGACCUAUUGCUGAAGGCGUCUCUGGAGGAAGCUCAUCUGACCCAACCACCCCCCAGAAAGGCCUACAUAAAAGGAGGAUGAUGAAGACACCUUGUCAGCUGCAACAAAGAGGGGGAAAAUACAAGCAAUUCUGUAAAUUACAAUGAGGAAGAGGGUCCAUCCACCUCCACGGUUCAACUUACCUCACUCCGUGUGAAACCACUGCAAGGUGUACUUAAGAGAAACAAAUUGAAAAAUGAAAUCUAGAAAUUGACCAAGGCUGCAGAAGCAAAAGAUAAAAAUAGAAAUACAACUGCUGGAAAAUCAGUUUUUAUGUUUGAACAACAUAAAAAAGAUUAACUACUGUCCUGCAUUUGUACUUGCAGAAAAUAAAGAAGACUUC
ensembl:lncRNA